rnacentral:misc_RNA from 1 species
GAAACAGAGGAACGGGCAAAAAGGAAUAAACAAGUACAUACAUGAUAACCUCAGCUAUGCAAAGUUAGUUGACUUUUUCUUCUUUCGGCUUUUGCUUCUCACCUACAACCUUCUUCCAGUUCUCUUUGCUGUCAAUUAUCUCACCAGUUUUGAUGAGGUAACGAACUCGGCUUCCGUCCUCGAGAGUUUUAUGCCCUACUCGACUAGCCACAUUUUUCUCUUUGGAAUAUAGCAUUACAUUCGAGCUGUGAAUAGGUGCUUCAAUCUUGACAAUCUGCCCUGGCUCUCCCUGCUCUCUGCUCUUCAUGUGUUUUGUUUUCAAGUUCAUGUCUUUUAUCACUAUGGUACUGUUAUGCCUGAAAAUUUUUGUAACUUCUCCAGUUUUACCUUUCUCGCGUCCUGCAAUUAUUUUUACUGUGUCCCCAACCUUAACAUGCAUUUUAUGCAGAACAGGAAGGCUGUUCGGUUUACAUUCUAUCCGUUCCCAUCGCUUGAGCUUCAUAACAAUGGAACGUGGCUGAUCUGCAACAUUGACCGGUGAAUGCGAGGGAGGGAACAUGAGGCACUGGCCGAAGAAGGUACUGGGCGCGAGGGAGAGGGAAGCCAUGGAGCUCUGAAGUCCUGCAAUCGC